rnacentral:rRNA from 1 species
CCUACGGGGGGCUGCAGUGGGGAAUAUUGGACAAUGGGCGAAAGCCUGAUCCAGCCAUGCCGCGUGUGUGAAGAAGGCCUUCGGGUUGUAAAGCACUUUCAGUGGGGAAGAAAGCCUUGGGGCUAAUACCCUCGAGGAAGGACAUCACCCACAGAAGAAGCACCGGCUAACUCCGUGCCAGCAGCCGCGGUAAUACGGAGGGUGCGAGCGUUAAUCGGAAUUACUGGGCGUAAAGCGCGCGUAGGCGGUCUGAUAAGCCGGUUGUGAAAGCCCCGGGCUCAACCUGGGAACGGCAUCCGGAACUGUCAGGCUAGAGUGCAGGAGAGGAAGGUAGAAUUCCCGGUGUAGAGGUGAAAUGCGUAGAGAUCGGGAGGAAUACCAGUGGCGAAGGCGGCCUUCUGGACUGACACUGACGCUGAGGUGCGAAAGCGUGGGUAGCAAACAGGAUUAGAUACCCGAGUAGUC